AGGACUAGAUAUUAAGAAAGGAAGACUAGAUACUACUAUCAGAAGAUAUUAUGGUCACUCUAAUUUGAACUGCAUCAUAUUCCUUGGCAUUUCUAAAAUAGGAAUAAAUUUCGAGUUGAGCAGAAUUUAUGGUCACUCUAGUUUGAACUGUAACAUGUUCCUCAUGACCUCUAAAAUAGCAACAUUCAGAAACCAGAAAUAUUUGCAGAAUACUUGAAAAAGACAACCUGCUGAUUGCACAAACUAGAUACUGGUGGCAGAGGACUAGAUAUUAAGAAAGGAAGACUAGAUACUACUAUCAGAAGAUAUUAUGGUCACUCUAAUUUGAACUGCAUCAUAUUCCUUGGCAUUUCUAAAAUAGGAAUAAAUUUCGAGUUGAGCAGAAUUUAUGGUCACUCUAGUUUGAACUGUAACAUGUUCCUCAUGACCUCUAAAAUAGCAAAUAUUUGCAGAAUACUUGAAAAAGACAACCUGCUGAUUGCACAAACUAGAUACUGGUGGCAGAGGACUAGAUAUUAAGAAAGGAAGACUAGAUACUACUAUCAGAAGAUGUUAUGGUCACUCUAAUUUGAACUGCAUCAUAUUCCUUGGCAUUUCUAAAAUAGGAAUAAAUUUCGAGUUGAGCAGAAUUUAUGGUCACUCUAGUUUGAACUGUAACAUGUUCCUCAUGACCUCUAAAAUAGCAAAAUUCAGGAACCAGAAAUAAGUUCGAAGUGUUCAAAAUAUAGAAUAACUUGGUGCGGAAUAACAGCAAAAACUAGAAUUAGCUUAAUAUAAUCACUAGAACUAACAUUAAACCUAGAACUAGAAAUAUUUAGGUUUCUCGAAUGUUUU